rnacentral:lncRNA from 1 species
CGAGGAUGGUGCCGGGCUGGCGAAGUGCGCAGGCGUAGGGUGCGGCGAGGCUGUGCGCAGGCGCGGCCGAGAACUCCGCCCCGGAAUUGGGGCGGGGCGGGUUGCGGCUCUGGAAUGUCCGCGGCCUGGCUCCGGCGUGCGCAGGCGCAGUCAGUGGGCGUUCCGGGGGCUCGCGGGGCUUCCUAGUCGCGUCUGAGAGCCGGGGCGUUCUCCCGCGCGCAGCCGCUCCGCCCACGUCCGGACUCCGCCCCGCUGCCGGAGUUGCGCAAUCCGUAGCCGGGGAAGCUCUACGUGGAGACCGGACUGAGUGGAUGCCCAGCCCUGGAGCUGGGGAGCUAGAGGGCGGACCUUGAAUGGGAUGCUGGACAUUCCUCAUGAGAAACCUGAGGAGGAUACUAAAGAGACAGCCACAGUUUUCCUAUGGCCUGCUGCCAAGGAGGGCCCAGCUGUUGGGGUUCUCUUUAUGCUCCUUUCCUCUAUAAGAAGAUGCGUUUCCCAAGUGGUCAUCAACCUCUGCAUUCAGUCCUUCUACUUGCUCCUUUGGAGAAGUCACUGAAUCCUGUGACUUCCAAUAAUAUCUCUGGUCCUGGCUCUGAAAGUUCAGGAUUCCAAAUGGAGCUGAUGUGAAGGAUACACUGUAGUGUAUUGGUAAAAGAAUAUGAAUUCCUGUGUCAACUGACUUGUCUUCAAAUCCCACUUCAAGGACUGGACCAGCAAUGCUUAGGGAAAUGCAAGUAAAAAUGCUGGGUUUUUUCCUUUAGCGUAUUGGCAAAAAGUCAAAUAUUGGUGUAAUACACACUUGUUUUUUUCCUGCCCUGCAUCAGUUCCUUCUGUUCCAUGGCAACAAUAUCACGUACAUUUUGCGUCAAGUCCUAUCUGAAUCCACAUCUACUAUUGGACUGCUCAGUUAUAUGAGCCAAUAACUUCCCAUUUUAGUUUAAACCACUUUGGGUCAGUUACCUAUUACUUGAAACUGAAUUGCAACUCUCACAACUGGUAAUUUCCCUUUCCUGGGAAGGUAUGAGGAAGGUUUCAGCCAGGCACCUGGUGGCAGACCCCUUCACGCAACACCAGUUGCAUCAGUAGGAUCUAUCGCUUUUUUCAGGAAGCCUCUUGUACUAAGUCUUUUGCAGAGACUGUGGAGGGCCCCCACAUUGAAGGCUGUCUGAUGAAUGGGACUCAAUGUAGGGCGAGAGUAGAUCUGAGCAGUGCGAGAGAUGUACUGUAUCAGACACAUUGUGUGUGCCGCUUCACAUCGCAUCUUCUCAGCCAGCAUUUGACUCCAGCCACUGUUGUAGCAACGAGCUUUGUGCAAAUAUAUUCUGACAGUGCCUCACUUCAUCUGCAUUAUGGUUUCCUGCACUGGGAAUUCUCUAAUGCUGUGCUGUGAGAUGGCUGUGGAAACCCACUCAGGCAUGCGCAACCUAAAAGGGCAGGGAGUUAAAGCCCAAUGGGGCAUCCCUUUCUAAUGGGGGAUGAGAGCUGGUGGAUAAAUGAGGCAUAUUCUCCAUGGCUCCUCAGAAGGUCUUAGUGGGUCAUGCCCUAGUAACACAGCAGUGACCAACUUGAUAAUAUACUCUUGUAUUGCCCUUCCCUCUUGGCCUCACUUUCCUGGAUCAUUUCCCAAAUAAACUGCUUGCAUGCAAGCCCUUGUCUCAGGCUCUAUUUCUGAAGCAGAAGCCAGAAUCAUCACAAUUCUAAUGAGAUCCCCAAAUUCAUUCCAAGUUUCCUCAAGUCUCACCUGCAUAAAUAGGAACAAUAGAGCUUAGAGUGGGUCAUAACCAAAAUAUCUUGGCUAUUGCUCCAAACUGCAUGAGUCUGCAAACACUGAUCUCAAAUUCUUCCUCUCUGGCUUACGCAGUUAACAUCCACCAACUGAAAGGCCCUCAGUGGUCAUGCCGGUGGUCCUGUCACUGAUGUCAGGGCCCUGGGAGACAACGCUGAUGUCUGUGCUCUCUAAGUGAUACCCAAGACUCUCUAGCUCCCAAGCAGCUGUGCGCUCCCCUGGAUCUGCUCAGUGUUGGAUCCAUACAGCCAUAAUGAGAAGAUCCC